rnacentral:lncRNA from 1 species
AGCUUAUAAAAUGAAAUGAUGGAUGGAUAGCGGAGGCUUUGUUUUCGCUUUUGCUUUAAGUUUGCUUUAUGAAUGUUAUUCAAAUAGGCUUCCUGAAAGAAUUUCACAAUUUGCUAUAGAGACUAAGAGCACUGAGAUGCAUGGCUGUGCUAUUUCCUACCUGUGUGACCUUGGUGGAGUCCCCCUACAUUGCCCAGGCUGGUCUCGAACUCCAGGACUGAAGGGAUCCUUCCACCUUGGCUUCCCAAAGUGCUAGGAUUACAGCACUUAGGGAGGCCAAGGCAAGAGGAUCACUUGACCCCAGGAGCGCAAGACCAGCCUGGACGUGGCAAAACCCUGUCUCUACAAAAAAAAAAAAAAAUUGCCGGGUGCAGUAGUACAUGCCUGUGGCCCCAAGCUAUUGAGGAGGCUGAGGCAAGAGGGUCACCUGAUCCCAGAAGGCAGAGGUUGAAGUGAGGUGAAAUUGCACCACUGCAUUUCACCCUGGGUGAAAGAGCAACAUCUUGUCUAAAAGGAAAAAAAAAAAAAAAGAUAGCAACAAAAACAAUGGCUACAUUGUAAUUAGCCUCUCAUUAUAUUAAAAUAUUUAGUUUAUGUCUGCAAUUUUCAUUUUGUUGAUUUUGUAUUUCCAUUUUCACAAUGCUAAUAAAGACAUACCUGAGACUUGGUGAUUUAUACAGGAC